rnacentral:lncRNA from 1 species
GAGAGGGCAGGAGGAGGAAGGCAGUCUGCAGUUUCCCCUCCAGUGAAAAGUGGCCGUGGCAUGAUCUCUGUGGUCAACAUUUUCUCCCUCACUGCAGACCCCUCCCAGGCCACAGCUGGAGUGGGCAGAGGUCGGGGUGAGGAGGGACGGCAGCAAGCAGGUGCCUAUGAGUGAGGGGUGGGCAGGGGCCAGAGGCGUGGGGUGAGGCUGCCUGACUGACUCAGGGCCUGGCUCGGUUCGCCUUUCCAGCUGGAAGUGUUCCAGGCCACGGGCAGGUGUGUCUACUGGCUCCUCCCCAUGGGAGGGCCAGGCUCAGCACAUCCCUCUGGCCACUCUGAGGCCUCCAUCCAUGUAGAAGGAAGAGGGAAAGAAAGAAUGAAAGUGGAAGAGGAAGGAGACAGGGUGAGAGGUGGUGCAGGGGGACUGGGGACAGAGGGUGUGUCCCAGGAGGGGCCUCUCGUGCCCUCCAGUGACAGCAUCUGGAUGCCUGCCGUGGACCCCUCCAGCACCAGGCACCGACCCACACUCCCUUCAUCCCAGCCUCAGCUCCAGGAAGAGGAGGGGCUCAUCCCUACGCUAGAGCUGAGAACACUGAGCUCAGGGAAAACACUCGGCUGGUCCUUGGCAAAACUUCUGGCUCCAUGGUUCUUCUUCCUCCUCAGCCUCCAUCACAGCCCAGCGCCUCCCCACCAGCUCUGGUUCCAACAGUAACACUGGCUCCUCAAACUUCCAACCCAAGGAACGGUUUCUGCCAAGAAAAUGUGCCUUAGGAGAUGAGACUACCAGUGGAGCAGAAUUCCGGCAGUUCUCCAGGGGCUGCCUGUCACGAGGGCACUCAAGCUGCCUGCAGAGAGGCCCAUACGGGGAGCAUCUAAGGUCCCGCCAACAGCUGGCACCAACUUGCCAACCAUCCGGGAAGAAGACCCUCCAGCCCCAGUCAAGCUUGCAAAUGGCUGUGGCUCUGGCUGAUGUCUCAACUGCAACCUCUUGAAAGACUCCAAGCCAGAAUGUUCCUGAAUUUCUGACCCCCCAAGACUGUGAGAUAUAUUAAAUGUGUAUUGUUAUUUUAAAUUUCUACGUUUUGAUUUGUUACAUAGCAAUAGAUAACUAGCAUGUAUCCUGUUGCCUUCCAAAACGGUUUUGAAACUGCAUAUAGGUAAAGUCAUAGCUCUAACUAAAUGAAAAGCUAUUAGAACAGGAUUUAAAAGAAGACAGAGAAAUAAUAAAUGUGGUAGGUAUAGGGAGGAGCCUGGCUGUAUUAGAAAACCUGGCUAAAGACAAAACAUAGCUCUAGGCUCCUUGCAAGCCAGGGCAAAAAUGGAAACUUGAUGGGUCACAUUAAAACUUUUUGUGGCGGUGGUGGUGACUCUGAAUGAGGAUGUGCAUUUGACAUGUGGACCUUUAGGUACGCAGCAUCACACCGUCUGGUGGGUGGUGCCGAGCAGACACUCCACCUACUGUAGAUCAGACUCUGCGUGUUUGAAAUGGUAAAUACAGUAGUGCACAGUUCACGUAUAACCGUGCACCUUCUGACAGUUUUCAGGAACUCCUGGCAUCAUAAAAAUAGAAAAAAUAUAUUAAUACACACAUACAUAUUCAAAAGAUAUAACUUUUAACAUAGGUACUAGUUUUUGUUUGUUUGUUAUUUCUUUU